rnacentral:rRNA from 1 species
AACCCUCGACCUUAGUUGCCAGCAUUCAGUUGGGCACUCUAAGGUGACUGCCGGCUAAAAGUCGGAGGAAGGUGGGGAUGACGUCAAAUCAUCAUGCCCCUUAUGACCUGGGCUACACGCGUGCUACAAUGGGCGGUACAAAGGGUCGCGAAACCCGCGAGGGGGAGCCAAUCCCCAAAAAAGCCGCUCUCAGUUCGGAUUGCAGGCUGCAACUCGCCUGCAUGAAGCCGGAAUCGCUAGUAAUCGCGGAUCAGCAUGCCGCGGUGAAUACGUUCCCGGGCCUU